rnacentral:tRNA from 1 species
GGGUCCGUAGCUCAGUGGCCAGAGCGCACCGUAUCCCCAUGACGGUGAAGUCGCAGGUUCGAAUCCUGCCGGGUCCUC